ensembl:lncRNA
CCUGAAUCUCCCUUAGUUAUGCUGCAAUAGGUGAAGGCUGCUGGGGCAUUCCCAUGAUGCAUUGAGUAUUUCCUUUUCAGUCACCAUUUUCACUCAACAGGUUUUAAUAGACCUCUCUGCAUUGAAUCACACUUGUUAUUAAUCUCUGUCUCUCUUCCACAGCAUGUCUUUCAUUCUGUCUUCCUUCUCUCACCCCAACAGAUGGCCCCGCCCCUCCCUGAGCCUGGUUCUGCAAGAGGUUUCUUCCUGUUAAAAGAGAGUUUUUCUUUCCCACUGUUGCCAAAGUGCUUGCUCAGAGGGGGUCAUAUGAUUGUUGGUUUCUUCUCUGUAUGUAUUAUUGUAGGGUCUACCUUACAAUAUAAAGCUCCUUGAGGAGACUGUUGUUGUGAUUUGGUGCUAUAUAAAUAAAACUGAAUUGAAUAAAAACCAAUCAGCCACGGUUUUUGUUCAAUUCAAUGGAGUGUCUUUCUGGUGAUAAACUGUGAUGAGGGCUUGGUUUGCGGUUUAGCCAUCAUAUAUGGUCCUUUGUAGAGCCCCAAGAUUCUCUACUUUCCCAAAAGUUGUGCACAUCAAUACUUGAAAAAAAUAUUCAAAAGCUGGACACUUUCUCAGCAGAUACUCUGACUUACUGCGACCCGGUGUGGCACGCCAUUAUCUAAAAAAAAAAUCAAUUACAAAAUUUAAAAAAAAUGUAUAGACUCACCAGUUAAAUCUGAUUGAUAAAACGUAAAAACUUCACACAAAAUUAGGUUGAAAAUGUUACACUGUUACUACACAUGUGCACAGCGUAACAGCAGGCUUGAAUCAUAGUGCAGUCCAGAAUGCUGACAUAGUUAACGUCUGUACACAUCCUGCCAGAGCGCUAAACAAAGGCUGUGCUAGUUUUAGUUGCGGAUAUAGUAAGCCAAGUUCAAUUAUCUUCCUCUUUACUACUUACUGCCACAACAAAGCCCAAACCUCACCUGUGUAAAUGUAUCAGUGCAACACCACUGGCUCAUCUGCUGUCUGAUUUGCCUGUUGAUUGGCUCUUCUGGGGCAACAGGAGAACAGUGAGACUUCUAUUCAGGAUUCGUUAAGUGUCAGGUCUCCUACGCCUCGUUCCACCUUGCUCACAAUCAUUUUUAUAUGUUCAGAAAUACACCACUUUUUAAGUGGCUUACCGUAACCGCUCC